rnacentral:rRNA from 1 species
AGUGAACGCUGGCGGUAGGCCUAACACAUGCAAGUCGAACGGCAGCACAGUAAGAGCUUGCUCUUACGGGUGGCGAGUGGCGGACGGGUGAGGAAUACAUCGGAAUCUACUUUUUCGUGGGGGAUAACGUAGGGAAACUUACGCUAAUACCGCAUACGACCUACGGGGGAAAGCAGGGGAUCUUCGGACCUUGCGCGAUUGAAUGAGCCGAUGUCGGAUUAGCUAGUUGGCGGGGUAAAGGCCCACCAAGGCGACGAUCCGUAGCGGGUCUGAGAGGAUGAUCAGCCACACUGGAACUGAGACACGGUCCAGACUCCUACGGGAGGCAGCAGUGGGGAAUAUUGGACAAAGGGCGCAAGCCUGAUCCAGCCAUACCGCGUGGGUGAAGAAGGCCUUCGGGUUGUAAAGCCCUUUUGUUGGGAAAGAAAAGCAGCAGGUUAAUACCCCGCUGUUCUGACGGUACCCAAAGAAUAAGCACCGGCUAACUUCGUG